rnacentral:lncRNA from 1 species
GUUUACUAUCAUCUGCCAUUCUCAUUACUGUUCAAAGAAGCCUCUGACAGAAGCAGAACCCCAACCAACUGAUGGACAGUGGCACAAAGGGGCACUAAAGUUAUAUUAGGAAUGUUUGCAUCUUAUUAUUCAGGCUCCAUCUCGAGCAGAUGGCUCAGCGUCUUCAAAGGGGAUUUAGAGCAUUGCAGAGCAGGAUGGCAGUGCAGCAGCCCAGGUAAAGGAAGAUCUGUGAGAAGUCCAAG